AUGCAGAUUUGUAAGUGUCAAGAAAGGUCAGAUUCAAGGACCUCAAAACAUCCACGUCUGCUUCAUUUAAAGGAUAGAAAAACUUGAUAGCUUAAUUAUCAGAGUUUGAUUGACUGGGAUCAAGGGUGCUUUUCAAUUUUAGAUUGUCGAGUCACUAGAUGUAAUCCAUAAGGAAUCUAGAACAUGCUACUCAAAAAGUCUUCAACUUUUCACCAAGAAAAAUGUGACAUUUAGUCAUCAAUAAAAUGCCAGUUCCAAGGCCUUUAUUUACCAUUCCAUGUCCUAAAAGUUUCUGUAGAGAAAAUGGAUUAGGUUUAACUCAACCCUAAAAGCUAACUCAAAGGAAAAGAAGUGCCCAAGACUUUAUAAAUGACACAUUACCUCUAUCCCAAACCGAUAUGAGAUAUUAACACACCUCAUGAAACACUUAUG
rnacentral:misc_RNA from 1 species